ACAGCCCAGCUUGAGAAUCGGGCGGCUGUGCCGUCCGAAUUGUAGUCUGGAGACGCGUCCUCAGCGACGGACCGGGCCCAAGUCCCCUGGAACAGGGCGCCUGGGAGGGUGAGAGCCCCGUCCGGCCCGGACCCUGUCGCCCCACGAGGCGCGGUCAACGAGUCGGG
rnacentral:ncRNA from 1 species